GGGUGACCGUCGAUAGUUAUAAACUAUAUCCCAAUGGUGUUCAGUCAACCAUCGGGCGUUAUAAGAGUAUUUUUGGAAUUCGGAGAACUUUGGCUGACGGUUAUGUCAGAACCCCGGGAUUGCAAACUUUUGCCGACGAUUAGUGGGUGACUAUCGGCAAUUAUUAACUAUAUCCCGACGGUCUGACAGAUGACCAUCGAGAAAAUGUUCGAUAUAAAUAACGUCUUGAUUCUUCUUCUCCCCGAUUCUUCUUCUUCCCCUCUCCACAUGCCUGUUCUUCUCCGUCAUCUGAUUUCCCCCUCGAUUUCGUUCGCCCGCCGCUGUCCGUCCCCCUCGUGUUCUGAUUGGCCGCGGUCUCUACUUUCCCCCUCGCCGUUUCCGCACUCCUCCCUCUCACUUUUACUCUCUUCUCUUCAGUCUUCGGUUCACAUCUAAGUGCCCACCGUUCAGUGGCGAUUCCACCAAUCGACCGUCUCUCUCCUCUUUUAGUUUCAGUUGCUUCUCUCCUCUGUAUCAUCUUCUCCAAGGAACAAUGGUAAGUCAUAUUGAUGAGGAGGAAAUACUGGAGUACUUACAGUCCGAGCAUAUUGGUGUAUCAUCCUCUAUGGGAGAUAAUACAGGUUAUUUUAGAUCCACAUUUAUAUAAACUAAUGUUUAAUUAAACUAACGACGUAUAAUUUCUUCAGAAUCUGGUUAUAUGACUACUAGGGCUAGACAUGGAUAUUCUCGAAAUGUUGAUUUGGAUAAAUAUGUUCAACAAUUUGGGAGAAUUCCUAUCGAGAUCAACCCUGAAUGGGAGAAACCAGCUUGCCAUAAUGCAACGAGGUUUAGCAAUGCUAGUGGUACCAAUGUUUAGGAAUCUUUUUCCGUUCGUUAUGGACAUAAGAGAGGUACCAAUAGAAAUAAGAGAGCUUGUUGAGAGUCGAUUAUUGGUAAGAUGGUCAAUUUAUAUUUUACAAAUUAUAUAUGCAUCGACUUCCAUACUAAUUAGUUUUUCUUUUCUUUCUUAAUUAAGAAUCAUUUUGUAUUAGACUUGUCCAGCAAACUUGUCAAUGAUUUCAUCAAUGGACAGAUGAAAAAUUCGUUCAAAGAGUAUAGGGGGGAACUACACAGACACUACAAAAAAUAUGCAAGUCCUGAAAAGGCACGAGCACAUCCACUUGAUCGCCUUAAAGAUGACAUAGAGGAUUGGCACUUUCUAUGCAACAAGUUUGAAUCCACGACUGGAAACUAAUAAUUUUUGUUUUGUUUUUGUUUUUGUUUACUUACAUUUCAAUUACUCAUUUCAUCUUAAGUUCUCAUUUUCUUAGAAAGUGGGAGAGACGAAUCAAAGGAAUAGGUUAGCCUUAAAGUAUACUCAUACAUCUGGUUUUAAGACUUUCAUACGCAUAAGAGAAUCCACGGUAAGCUAGUUAAAGUACACUCAUCUUAAUAUCUUAUUUUCUUGCGAAUUGUUUUACAGAAAGGACCCGAUGGUCAAACAAUGGACCUAAUGGACUUAUUUAAGUAAACAUAUUGUAGGAGUAAUAACACAUUUGUUAAUCAGGCUACGAAUGAUGCAUAUUUAAAUGGUUGAGCUGAGAGAAUCCUCCACCUAAGAAGGGUCUGAACGAAUGUCGGAGGAAGAAAUAUACGAGCAGGUGUUGGUCGUAGGAGUGGGCUUUGGUAGGACACCGAAGGGUAAAAACGUGAAAAAAUCUAGGUGAUCAUCGUCUAGUGCAUCUUCAUCAAGAAUUAUAAAGGAGCAAUAAUAAGAGAUAGAAUCCUUAAAGGCUAGAUUGGCUAGAUUGGACGAACAUGAUGCCAAAAGAGAAUCUGAGAUGGAGGAUAUGAAAGCUAUGCUCUUACAGCUCAAGAAAGAUAGAUCGAACUAGGUAUCUGGAGCUUUUUGUUGUAGAUGCAUCUCUCGACAAGCGUAUUUAGGUUGUAGAUUUUUAUUAAUGUUAUUUUGGAUUUAGGAAUUGUGCAUCUCCCAAUAUGUACUUUGUUAUUAUGUAAUAUUUUUUUGGAUUAAAAAA